rnacentral:tRNA from 1 species
GCGGGAGUAACUCAGUGGUAGAGUGUCACCUUGCCAAGGUGGAGGUCGCGAGUUCGAAUCUCGUCUCCCGCUCCA